rnacentral:rRNA from 1 species
GACGGGAAUACCCCCGGGAAACUGGGGCUAGUUCCCGAUAGGUGAAGAACUCUGGAAUGAGUCUCCGCCCAAAAGACGCUUAAAUCAUGCUUUUAGGCGCCGCCCAAGGAUGGGGCCGCGACCGAUCAGGUAGUUGGUGAGGCAACGGCUCACCAAGCCUUUAACCGGUGCGGGCCGUGGGAGCGGGAGCCCGGAGAUGGGCACUGAGACAAGGGCCCAGGCCCUACGGGGCGCAGCAGUCGCGAAAACUUUGCAAUACACGAAAGUGUGACAGGGCUAUCCCGAGUGCCAUCCGCUGAGGAAGGCUUUUACCCAGUCUAGAAAGCUGGGAGAAUAAGGAGAGGGCAAGUCUAGUGUCAGCCGCCGCGGUAAUACCAGCUCUCCGAGUGGUGUGGAUGUUUAUUGGGCCUAAAGCAUCCGUAGCUGGCCAAGUUAGUCCCCUGUUAAAUCCACCGAAUUAAUCGUUGGUGUGCGGGGGAUACUGCUCGGCUAGGGGACGAGAGAGGCCGACGGUAUUUUCGGGGUAGGGGUGAAAUCCUAUAAUCCCGAGAGGACCACCAGUGGCGAAGGCUGUCGGCUAGAACGCGCCCGACGGUGAGGGAUGAAAGCUGGGGUAGCGAACCGGAUUAGAUACCCGGGUAGCCCCAGCUGUAAACGAUGCAGGCUAGGUGUUUGGGCGGCCACGUGCCGCUCUAGUGCCGCAGGGAAGCUGUUAAGCCUGCCGCCUGGGG